rnacentral:tRNA from 1 species
GGUAUUGUAGCUAAGUGGUAGAGCACUUGCCUAGCGCAUGUGAGGCACUGGGUUCGAUCCUCAGCACUACCU